rnacentral:rRNA from 1 species
CCUACGGGUGGCAGCAGUGAGGAAUAUUGGUCAAUGGUCGGGAGACUGAACCAGCCAAGCCGCGUGAGGGAUGAAGGUACAGAGUAUCGUAAACCUCUUUUGUCAGGGAACAAAGGCGGGGCCGUUUCCCCGGAUGAGUGUACCUGAAGAAAAAGCAUCGACUACCUCCGUGCCAGCAGCCGCGGUACUACGGAGGAUGCGAGCGUUGUCCGGAUUUAUUGGGUUUAAGGGGUGCGCAGGCGGUCUGUUAAGUCAGCGGUCAAAGCCCGGGGCUAAACCCCGGCCCGCCGUUGAAACUGGCAGUCGCGAGUUGGAGAGAAGUAUGCGGAAUGCGCGGGGUAGCGGUGACAUGCAUAG